AUGGGGCUAAUUGGAACAGCAGUUGGGAUGCUGGGGUUUUUGACUCAUCAGAUAGUUGAUUCUCUCAUCAAAUUGAAAUGGGACCUGAUGGAAAGUUACCUGAAGGAUGGCAACUUCCACCUGGUGUGGGUGUGUGUGCUGGGCUCCGGGCUGGCCAUGGUCCUCGUGUCCUCAAGCUUGGUGCUGUUCUUUUGCCCAGCUGGUUCACCAUCUGGCUUGCCUGAAAUCAUUGGAUAUUUGAAUGGCACUUCUAUUCAACAUCUUUUUAACAUCAAAACAUUCCUAGGGACCUUUGUCUCAUGCGUGCUGGCUGUAGCCUCUGGGCUCUUCUGUGGGCUGGAAGGUCCCAUGGUCCAUUUGGGGUAAGAAAUUGGGGUAAGAGGUUAAAGCUAUCAGACUGUGGGGAUGGCUUCGCAACGGCUUGUGUGGUGGCAGCGCUGGCUUAAAAAAACCCUCAUAGCACUAGCACCAGUGGUGUCGUGUUGUCCCCCUCCUUUUCACUAGCACACCUAUUCAAAGCCAUGCAGUGAAGAAAGCCAUUUUUUCACCGUGUUUUAAACUUUGGCUGGAUUUCUCUGUAGGACUCUGAGUGGGGUUCAGUAAGUAGCUAUCUAGACAACUGAUGAGAUAGCUUACAGUAUGCUGAUAAAGUGGAGGAGACUGGAUUCGCAAAACCACAGUUUGUUUUGUUCCUGAAAGCAACCUGUCCUGGAGUGAUGUUGGCUGCUUUGCAUCUCCUGUAGUCUCUUUUUACUUACGCAGAGUCAGUGCAAAAAUAAAGGCAGGCUCAGGUGGCUGCA
rnacentral:lncRNA from 1 species